GCCGGCGUAGCUCAAUGGUAGAGCGCCGCGUUGUGGCCGCGGAUACCCUCGUUCGAUCCGAGGCGUCGGUG
rnacentral:tRNA from 1 species